CCUACGGGCGGCAGCAGUGAGGAAUAUUGGUCAAUGGACGAGAGUCUGAACCAGCCAAGUAGCGUGAAGGAUGACUGCCCUAUGGGUUGUAAACUUCUUUUAUAAAGGAAUAAAACGAGGCACGUGUGCCUUUUUGCAUGUACUUUAUGAAUAAGGAUCGGCUAACUCCGUGCCAGCAGCCGCGGUAAUACGGAGGAUCCGAGCGUUAUCCGGAUUUAUUGGGUUUAAAGGGAGCGUAGAUGGGUUGUUAAGUCAGUUGUGAAAGUUUGCGGCUCAACCGUAAAAUUGCAAUUGAUACUGGCAGUCGUGAGUACAGUUGAGGUAGGCGGAAUUCGUGGUGUAGCGGUGAAAUGCUUAGAUAUCACGAAGAACCCCUAUUGCGAAGGCAGCUUACUAAACUGUGACUGACAUUGAUGCUCGAAAGUGUGGGUAUCAAACAGGAGUAGAUACCCCGGUAGUC
rnacentral:rRNA from 1 species